UAAAGAGUUCUAUAACUCCCAAACCCAUGUGAACAUACCUAACGUUGCCUCGGCAGGUCGCACCUACCUUGUAGCACCCUACCCUGUAGGGCCUACCCGGGAGGUGCGGGUAAGCCUGCCGGCGGCCCACCAAACUCUGUUUGAUAUUGAAUUCUGAACCUAUAACUAAAUAAGUUAAAACUUUCAACAACGGAUCUCUUGGUUCUGGCAUCGAUGAAGAACGCAGCGAAAUGCGAUAAGUAAUGUGAAUUGCAGAAUUCAGUGAAUCAUCGAAUCUUUGAACGCAUAUUGCGCCCAUUAGUAUUCUAGUGGGCAGGACCGUUCGAGCGUCAUUUCAACCCUUAAGCCUUCGUUGCUUAGUGUUGGGAGCCUACGGCAACGUAGCUCCUCAAAGUUAGUGGCGGAGUUGGUUCACACUCUAGACGUAGUAAUUUUUUAUCUCGCCUAUUAGUUGGACUAAUCCCCUGCCGUAAAACCCCCAAUUUAUCAAGGUUGACCUCGAAUCGGUUCAGAUAAACUCGCUAAAUUGAAGCAUCUUAGUCAGCGAAGGAAAAGAAACCAACAGGGAUUGCCCUAGUAACGGCGAGUGAAGCGGCAACAGC
rnacentral:rRNA from 1 species